UGGGGAAUAUUGGACAAUGGGCGAAAGCCUGAUCCAGCCAUGCCGCGUGUGUGAAGAAGGUCUUCGGAUUGUAAAGCACUUUAAGUUGGGAGGAAGGGCAGUAAAUUAAUACUUUGCUGUUUUGACGUUACCGACAGAAUAAGCACCGGCUAACUCUGUGCCAGCAGCCGCGGUAAUACAGAGGGUGCAAGCGUUAAUCGGAAUUACUGGGCGUAAAGCGCGCGUAGGUGGUUCGUUAAGUUGGAUGUGAAAUCCCCGGGCUCAACCUGGGAACUGCAUUCAAAACUGACGAGCUAGAGUAUGGUAGAGGGUGGUGGAAUUUCCUGUGUAGCGGUGAAAUGCGUAGAUAUAGGAAGGAACACCAGUGGCGAAGGCGACCACCUGGACUGAUACUGACACUGAGGUGCGAAAGCGUGGGGAGCAAAACAGGAUUAGAUACCCUGGUAGUCCACGCCGUAAACGAUGUCAACUAGCCGUUGGGAGCCUUGAGCUCUUGAGUGGCGCAGCUAACGCAUUAAGUUGACCGCCUGGGGAGUACGGCCGCAAGGUUAAAAGC
rnacentral:rRNA from 1 species